rnacentral:misc_RNA from 1 species
GUGAAUCAUCGAAUCUUUGAACGCACAUUGCGCCCGCCAGUAUUCUGGCGGGCAUGCCUGUUCGAGCGUCAUUACAACCCUCAGGCCCCCGGGCCUGGCGUUGGGGAUCGGCGGAGCCCCCCGUGGGCACACGCCGUCCCCUAAAUACAGUGGCGGUCCCGCCGCAGCUUCCAUUGCGUAGUAGCUAACACCUCGCAACUGGAGAGCGGCGCGGCCACGCCGUAAAACACCCAACUUCUGAAUGUUGACCUCGAAUCAGGUAGGAAUACCCGCUGAACUUAAGCAUAUCAAUAAGCGGAGGA